rnacentral:tRNA from 2 species
GCCGAAGUGGCGGAAUUGGUAGACGCGCUAGGUUCAGGGUCUAGUAGGUGUACGCCUGUGAUGGUUCAAAUCCAUUCUUCGGCACCA